rnacentral:rRNA from 1 species
AGGUCACCACCAGGAGUGGAGCCUGCAACUUAAUUUGACUCAACACGGGGAAACUUACCAGGUCCAAAUUAGUAAGGAUUGACAGACUGAGAGCUCUUUCUUGAUUUUAUGGGUGGUGGUGCAUGGUCGUUCUUAGAUGGUGGAGCGAUUUGUCUUUUUAAUUCCGUUAACGAACGAGACAUUAGCAUGAUAACUAGCCAUGUAGGGGAUUCCCUCCGCAGCCAGCUUCUUAGAGGGAUUAUGGUCGUUUAGGCCACGGUAGUUUGAGGCA